UCCACAGCCGGGCCCCGAGCGAGCUACGCGCGGCGGGCCGGGAGCCCAGGGCUCCCGGGUUCAAAGGGCCCCGGCCCUGAGGGGAUGCCCUUCUCGCUGUGUCCCGGGGGGCAGAAGCGGACUGCAGGGCGGUGUGACCGGCCCCGGGCCACGAUGGAAGAAUAUCCAUAACUGGGGUAGUCAACUCAAAAUAGCAAUGAUGACGACAAUAGUGCAGUAACGACCUAGACUGAGCACUUACUGUGCAUCAGAGACUGUGCCAAGCACUGAUUUUCUGUGAUCCUUACAGCAGCUGGAGGAGAGAUUCUUCGGAGAGCCCAUUCUGGUGGACCAGUUUGCACCCUGAGCUUGCUGAGAUGAGACAAUGCUUGGGAGAAAGAAGAGAAAAGAAGAAGGCAAGGGGGGAAAAAGAACAAAGAAAGAGACAAAGGAAGGAAGGAAGAGAAGGAGGGACGGAGGGAGGGAGGGAGGGAAGGAGAAUAAUUUCGGUGGACCAAUCCGAAGGCUGAUAUAGCUUCCCACUAAAGGUUUGGUCUUGGCAAGUGAUGCUGGAGAAAGAAGGAAGGGUGUCUUCAGAUUUUCUAGCAAAGAAGGUUGGAAUUUUUCCUAAUCCCUCUCAACUUCAAACCUUGGAAAGAGCAUUAAACCAAAAAGGGGACUAGCUCAUGUCUGUCGCCAUUUCCUGCAUAUUCACCACCAGGCCUGGUUGAUGCCAUUAAUCAUACAAUGUGUCCAUCUGUGUGCCUGUCACCUGAGCUGCUCCCUGUGGUCAGAAAAGCAGAUGACAGGCAAAUGCCAAACUCUUGGUUGUGUGGUCUUCAGUGGUGACUCUGGGUAGAGAAGUUACUUCUCCCUGCUUACAUUUUAAUUUUCAUUAUUCAUUAAAUUUUCUAAUUUACUCUGCAGAAUGAGGCAGUUAUGUUUAGAGAGAAUGGAAUGAACCCAACUCCAUUUGGCUUCCUUGCUGAACUGAGGACAUGAGAGGUUUCACAUAUCUCUGGGCAGUUGAUAUAGUAGAAACACACACAUACCAAACCUAAUACAAUGAAACAAGAAUAGGGGUUAUCUGAACAAACUAGUUUUCUAUAUAGUCAUUCAAGGAAUGUUUGGUUUUAUAUACAGAAUCAUCUAGGACAAGCAUUUUAUUUAGUUGUGUUACACAUAAAUGACUUAAGACUGGAAAUUUCCAGUUCUUACCGACUCCCCAUCUUCCAGGGAGGUUAUACCCAUGAACUCUAAUAUGUAAGGGAAUCUCCCAAGUUAUGGAAUAUUAUUUUCAACAUGAAAUUUUAUUUCAAUAUAUGGACCCCCAAAAGCUCCAAUAAAGUUGAAUUAUUGACUCGAUGUGAUGUUCCCAGAAAACCAGGACUUAACAGCUCCUUCCCAGGCAGUUUUCUGAGAACUGCUUGACUCUUUCUGCUGCUGCUUGAGGCUGGCUUCAGGGUUCCUUUGGGUUCUUUCGGGAUGAAUCUUUAAAUGGCACCUCAGUCUAUGCUUAAAAGCAAACUCCAGAAAGGUUUGAUUCUAUUUCUAGAAGUGAAUUAAUAAUAUCAGGAAGGAAACCAUACAUUCCAACUCUCUACAGUCUCCUUCAGAUUUCGAGACUCAUUUUGGAUAGUGAAGCACCUUCCCUGAGUUUUAUUUCAUCCAUUUUCUUCAUCAGAAGAGGUGGACUUGGGCUGUCUACCCCUACCCACUCUUGUUGGGGUUUCUCACCUCCACCCAGUGGGAUGAAAUCGUGAGAGCAAUGGGCAUGAGUUAUGGUCACAAGACAAAGGAAACUAACUGGGCAUCGUUCUCAGAGUUGGCUUUGUUCAUGCCAUCCUCUACUAAUGUAGCCUCUAGAUCCAGACAUGAAGUACUACCAAGGAACUCUUGAACAACGGAUUUCUUUCCAAAAGUGAAUAUUUCACACAUUUCCAAAGCUCUCAAGCAACAAUAAACCACCAUCCAUUUACUGAAGGCCUGCUCUGAUUCAGCCACCAUGCCAAAUGCUCUACAAACUUUGUCUACAAUCUUACUGGUACUAUUAUUUCUGUUCCACAGAUGAAGAUUCUAACACUUAGAGGUGUUAUAUCAUCAUCAUCAUCAUCAUCAUCAUCAUCAUAAAUACCAAUAACGGUGAUUUACACUGAUGAACUCUUUUUCAGAAACAUGGAGAGCCAUGUUAUUUCCUGAAUCCUCAAACAAGUUUGUAAAUUAAGGACUGUUAAUACCCCCAUAUCACAGAUGAAGAAACUGAGGCUCAGGAAAUUAACUGAUGUGCCCAAGGUCAUAGAAUGCAUCACAUAGAAGUAUAACAGUUAGCUUCACUCCAAAGCUUUUCACUUUCAUUGCUACAAUUUCUGGCUAUGCAGUGGAGUAAAAAUGAACUAAAAAUUAAUUACAGAAAUAUUUCAUUAAGAAGAAAAGGGAAGUUAGGACAAAAGAGAAGAAUUAAAAAAUCUUGCAACUGGAAACUUAAAUUUUAAAGUUUGGAACAAUUAAACAUUCUUACUAAUAAGCGUUAUACCACAUUAAAUGCAAAUCUCUUCAGUGUCAACAACAGUGACUGCUUUAGUCUUAUAUAGUCAGAGGCCUUUUAUCUUUUUUUUCUUUAAAAAAAAAAAAUCUUUUUCCAAAACUUAAAACAACUUUAAUAUUUGUGAAAGAAAAUAUUAAACAAUAAAAGGACAUCAGAGUUCUGGAGUA